rnacentral:rRNA from 1 species
UGGGGAAUUUUGCACAAUGGGGGAAACCCUGAUGCAGCGACGCCGCGUGAUUUAGAAGGCCUUCGGGUUGUAAAAAUCUUUUCUAUGGGAAGAAAAUGACAGUACCAUAGGAAUAAGGACCGGCUAAUUACAUGCCAGCAGCCGCGGUAAUACGUAAGGUCCGAGCGUUGUCCGGAAUCAUUGGGCGUAAAGGGUACGUAGGCGGGUAAGCAAGUUAGAAGUGAAAUCCUAUAGCUCAACUAUAGUAAGCUUUUAAAACUGCUCAUCUUGAGGUAUGGAAGGGAAGGUGGAAUUCCUAGUGUAGCGGUGAAAUGCGCAGAUAUUAGGAGGAAUACCGGUGGCGGAGGCGACUUUCUGGCCAUAACCUGACGCUGAGGUACGAAAGCGUGGGUAGCAAACAGG